UACGUAGGUGGCAAGCGUUGUCCGGACUUAUUGGGGUUAAAGGGUGCGUAGGCGGCUUUGUAAGUCAGUGGUGAAAUAUGGCAGCUCAACUGUCAGGGUGCCAUUGAUACUGCAGAGCUUGAGUACAGAUGAGGUAGGCGGAAUUGACGGUGUAGCGGUGAAAUGCUUAGAUAUCGUCAAGAACACCGAUAGCGAAGGCAGCUUACUGGGCUGUAACUGACGCUGAGGCACGAAAGUGUGGGGAUCAAACAGG
rnacentral:rRNA from 1 species